rnacentral:rRNA from 1 species
GGAGGGGGGGAUCUUAGGACCUCUCGCUACAGGGGCGGCCGAUGGCAGAUUAGCUAGUUGGUGGGGUAAAGGCCUACCAAGGCGACGAUCUGUAGCUGGUCUGAGAGGACGACCAGCCACACUGGGACUGAGACACGGCCCAGACUCCUACGGGAGGCAGCAGUGGGGAAUUUUGGACAAUGGGCGCAAGCCUGAUCCAGCAAUGCCGCGUGUGUGAAGAAGGCCUUCGGGUUGUAAAGCACUUUUGUCCGGAAAGAAAACGUCGUGGUUAAUACCCGUGGCGGAUGACGGUACCGGAAGAAUAAGCACCGGCUAACUACGUGCCAGCAGCCGCGGUAAUACGUAGGGUGCAAGCGUUAAUCGGAAUUACUGGGCGUAAAGCGUGCGCAGGCGGUCCGCUAAGACAGAUGUGAAAUCCCCGGGCUUAACCUGGGAACUGCAUUUGUGACUGGCGGG